rnacentral:rRNA from 1 species
GACGAACGCUGGCGGCGUGCUUAACACAUGCAAGUCGAACGGAAAGGCCCUGCUUGUGUGGGGUGCUCGAGUGGCGAACGGGUGAGUAACACGUGAGUAACCUGCCCUUGACUUUGGGAUAACUUCAGGAAACUGGGGCUAAUACCGGAUAGGAGCUCCUGCUGCAUGGUGGGGGUUGGAAAGUUUCGGCGGUUGGGGAUGGACUCGGGGCUUAUCAGCUUGUUGGUGGGGUAGUGGCUUACCAAGGCUUUGACGGGUAGCCGGCCUGAGAGGGUGACCGGCCACAUUGGGACUGAGAUACGGCCCAGACUCCUACGGGAGGCAGCAGUGGGGAAUAUUGCACAAUGGGCGGAAGCCUGAUGCAGCAACGCCGCGUGCGGGAUGAAGGCCUUCGGGUUGUAAACCGCUUUCGCCUGUGACGAAGCGUGAGUGACGGUAAUGGGUAAAGAAGCACCGGCUAACUACGUG